AUUGAACGCUGGCGGCAGGCCUAACACAUGCAAGUCGAGCGGAUGAAGGGAGCUUGCUCCUGGAUUCAGCGGCGGACGGGUGAGUAAUGCCUAGGAAUCUGCCUGGUAGUGGGGGAUAACGUCCGGAAACGGGCGCUAAUACCGCAUACGUCCUGAGGGAGAAAGUGGGGGAUCUUCGGACCUCACGCUAUCAGAUGCGCCUAGGUCGGAUUAGCUAGUUGGUGGGGUAAAGGCCUACCAAGGCGACGAUCCGUAACUGGUCUGAGAGGAUGAUCAGUCACACUGGAACUGAGACACGGUCCAGACUCCUACGGGAGGCAGCAGUGGGGAAUAUUGGACAAUGGGCGAAAGCCUGAUCCAGCCAUGCCGCGUGUGUGAAGAAGGUCUUCGGAUUGUAAAGCACUUUAAGUUGGGAGGAAGGGCAGUAAGUUAAUACCUUGCUGUUUUGACAUUACCAACAGAAUAAGCACCGGCUAACUUCGUG
rnacentral:rRNA from 1 species